AUGAAACACCAACACAUAAGGAAACAAAUGUUUUGUUUUUGCAAAGGAUCGCCCGACGACAGGAUGGAUCGCCCGAUGAAAAUUGUGAAGAAAGGGUGGAUUUUUUUUAUUCGCUUCUAUAAUGCUUCGCCCAUGGAUCGCCUGGCGAAAGAAGGAUCGCCCGGUGAAGCAUCCUUGUCGCCCAACGAUGAUAGAUACUUUCCUGCUUGUGUAUCACGUCUAACUUGUGUAUCACGUCUAACUGGUCACGUGUGGCAUCUAGCUAGCGUCACCCGACGAUGCUUUAUGGUCGCCUGA